CCUGGUAAAUUUAGUGCUGAGUAUGCGGAGUUUUUCAGCGGUCUCGACUGACGCGCCGCCGCACUAACAAAGCAUUCUGGGAUUUGUAGUAUUGGCGGUGUAUGCGCUAUACACUGGCGGGCAGCUCUAAUACACAUGUAGCCAGGCAAGCACCUACCAGUAGCGGUGUGGUUGGCUAAUUAUUCCAGGACUUUUUAAGCAGGCACUGGGCAAGAGGCCUCGAAAUGUGGGCCUUGUUUUAAAAGCACAUUGGAUAUAGUGCUGCCUUGUUUGGUUGUGUUUGAAUUCGCCCCAGAGGAGAUGUAGAUCAGCUGAGCAACGCUGACUGUGUAUGUUGACAGCUGCUGGUGUAGAUCUGGAUAAAUGCUUGAACAUCAACUGAUUGUUAUAUCUGCUAUCUGCCAAUGAAGAUGUGGAGGAAGGCUGAAAUCCUGAUUGGUUGCCAUUUUUGGUAGCCGAUGAAGGUUUGUCAAUUGCUUUUGGUCCCCUGGUUGGCCGGUUUCAGGAGUGUGCCGCAUGGUGGCAGCACAUGUAUCGUGUGAAUUGUUUGUGUACGAGCCCGGUUGGCCGGGGCUUUGGUUUUUUUGUAUUUUUUCUUUUUAUUUCUAUCGAUGACACCUUCCCAGCCUUAUGUCGCCAGCUUAAUUCAUGGUGCUUGUUUUCUGUGUGUGUGUGUGUGUGUGUGUGUGUGUGUGUGUGUGUGUGUGUGUGUGUGUGCAUGCAUCGCUCUGUGUAUGGGAUUUAAGUUUGCUGUGGUUUUUUUUGUAGUUAUGAGUGAAGGGUUAUGUUUUGAGUUGUGUAUUUUUAUUUUAAUUGUGGUUAUUUCUUUUUAGUAUUUAAUGCAAGAGGGAUGUCCCCCUAUGCCUUAAAGGUUUGCCACACGCAACAAAAUCAGCUAUUAUAGCGAGAGAUUUGAGAGCUCUUUGACAGCUGGGACCAAUUUUGGUUGAGUUACUUGUAUAAAUUAUUUCAUUAUUUAUACACAAUUUAUACCCUGCCUUACACAAUCAAAUCCUAAACCCAGUAAAGUGUUGUGAAUCCUGUACCGUGUUUUAACUGACACACUGGGGCGAGUACAAUCUCCAGAUCAGCACACACCGGAUAAUCUUCCUUAUAUUUAAUCCUUUGAGUCGGAUAUUAAACUUCCUUACAUUUUGGUCGUUCGAGCCAGAUAGCAACUUUCCUGAAGUUACAAACCAACAGUUUACACAAUAACACUUUAUUAAACUACACCAUUUACACAUGA